rnacentral:lncRNA from 10 species
CUCCCGGAUUUUUCUUUCAAUUCUUGGCUGAAGUUUCAAGCUGUGAUCACUCCAGCCCCUAAAUGUCUCUGCCCCAGUCUCUGUUGCUAUUAAUCCAGUGUUGGCCGCAGGCAAAGCUGUUAUUCACUCCUAAAUGCCUCCAUCACUCCCAUUCAGGCUCUCUGACCUUUGGCCCCACACCCGAGUUCCCACUACCCAGCCCAGUCUCCUGCUGGUGUUCUGAUCUUUUAGGCUUCUCCAGCUCAAAAGCUCAGCAUGAGUCAGAAUCAGAAUUCACCCCUGAUUCUGAGGCACUGCAGCCAGAGGGAAAGUCUCCCCACCUUCCACUCUGGCCCCUGUAGGUGCAGGAAGGCAAGGCCAGCCCCUACUGGCCAUGAGGUGUGGCCUCUAGCUUCUAAGCUUGACUCUCCCACUCACCAGCCACACGUCCUUCCCUGGCUGCUCCUCUGCGUGUGAUAAACUUCUCUCUGGAUCAUGGUUUCUUCAUCUGGAGAAUGAGGGAGUUGAACCACAUGUGUGUAAGAGUACCUCCUGCUUCUAUGAUACCUUUUCAAAUGGCUGAAUAUUUGGAAUAUCUUUCUUUAAGGGACCUCAGAAAAGCUCAAGACCCAAGGCUAAUUUUAUUAAUAAAGCCAGCCUUGUGGAAUCUCUAAGAAUUAAUCAUUAGACUCUUUUCAAAGUUAUCUAUUAAUGACCUGAAAAAAGACAAAGACAACCUCAUCUGAUGUGUGCAUAGCCCAAGGGAGAGGCAAUGGGAGAUAUUGUAAUGCAAUCUCCCAGACCCCAAAAAAGAUGCCGACAAACUAGAAUGAUGAGCUAGCUACAUUGGAGUGGAUUUUCCUUGUAGAGGAAAUUAAAUCUGAGCAGAAUCCUAAAAGAUACUUUUCCUGUGAAGAAAAUGAAGACAUUUAAGCUGUUGUAGGGAUUGGAAACACCGGGGAGACCUGAUUUCUGUCUUCAAAGUUGAGAAGGCCACAGAUCCCCCAUUUGGCAUCAUAAAGCACGCGCUCAUGGACAAAAGAAACCAGAUUCAACUGCAGAGUUACAGCCUGCAGUGGCAGUGGUAGUGACGGGCAUUGUGGUGAGACUGACGUUUGCUCUCAGUAAGGGACUUUGGACAGCAGGUGUGCCCUGCCAGGUUUCCUUCAUUAGGCAGGGGUUUCCAGAGGAGCUACUCUACCUGAGAAGCAAAAGUGACCAAGACAGAGGAACUUCUUCUCUCCUAAUCGUGCACUUCAGAGGAGGAGAUACAUGAUAGUACCCAGGUAAAUGCAUGCAUAAACAGCCCAUAAUAGUACAGAGAUAAACACAAGCAUAGAUAGUACAGAAUCAUAUAUAGGUAAGCACAUGCAUAUCCAGUAUAUAAUAGGACACAGGUGCUGUGGUUUGGAGGUUUCUGUCCCCUCCAAAACUCAUGUUGAAACUUAAUCCCCAUUGUAAUCACGUUGGGAGGUGUAGCCUAAUGGAAAGUGUUUAGGUCAUGAGGUCUCUGCCCUCAUUAAUAAAUUAAUGCUUCUAUACAAAAGGAUUGCAGGAAUGAGUUUGCCCUUCUCUUCUGCUCUUGGAUCAUGUGAGGACACAGAGUUCCUUUCCCUGAAAAUGCACCAACGAGGCACCACCUUGGAAGUGGAGACCAGGCCCUUAACAGACACCAAACCUAUAGGAAUCUUGAUGUUGGAUCUCCCAGCCUCCAAAACUGUGAGAAAUAGAUUUAUGUUCUUUAUAAAUCACCCAGUCUGUGGUGCUCUAUUAUAGCAGCACAAAACAGACUAAGAUAGCAGGUACAUACGGACAAACGGUAUAUGAUUGUACACAGGUGAACAUGUACUUAAACAGAAUAUGGUAGUGCACAAGCAAACACAUGCAUAAACAGUACGUAGUCACACACAGGCUAAUGCAUACAUAGGCCAGAUCAUUUCCCACAUUGGCAGUACUAUGAAGGGGAUGAAGAUGGGCUCAGAGGAUCGGGAGUGGAUAGAGGUCCAGGGCAGUAAGAGCCACUGUAGAUGAGGUGGUCAGGGAAGGUGUCCCUGAAAAGAUUCCACCUGAACUGACACCAAAGGGCAGGGGUGGGCAGCGAUGAAAAGGGCCCCUCUCUCAGGCAGGGAGCAGCAAAUUCAUUAUCAUUGAGGCAGGACGCAGCUUAGCAUUGCUCAGGACAAUAUGAUCAGUGUGGCUGGAGAUCAGUGCACUUUCGGAGGUGACAUGGAUUGAGGUUAGGAAGACUAGCAGGUGUUGACUCCUCCAGGUCUUAAUUUAUAAGGGUAGCAGAUCUGAUAGGCUACUUGUGAUGUGGUGAGCGCCCCAUCAACUGGGCAAUGGAAAGAGGGGCUGGGUGACCACUGAUCAGCAAUGUCGGAAGUGGGAGAGAGUGAGGAAGAAAUUGAAGUGGAAUGCUUUAAAGCACUGUCCGUCUUUGACAUCAAGACACUCACUUUGCUGAGCUCAGAGACAUCUGAAGUUUAAUCACCUGCAGAUUUGAUUGAAUGUAUUUUGCCAAUAUUGAGGGACAGCCACCAUGAGGAGAAGUGCCAGUGCAGCUGCCAACUGAGGAGAGGCCAGGACCUCAGUACCAUGGAUACAGCAAAUGUGGACAGAGCCAGUGCCGUGGCUCAUUUAGAGCCAGAUGUGAAAGGCAGCUGGCUGUGCCUCCUUGCUUUGACUGCUGAAAACCAUAAAUAAAUACAUGUAAAAAGUUGGAUGUUAGCUCUGUCAUUAUUUUACAAUGAUGAUAGGACGUUAGAAUAUGAAUGCAG